UAGGGAAUCUUCCACAAUGGGCGCAAGCCUGAUGGAGCAACACCGCGUGAGUGAAGAAGGGUUUCGGCUCGUAAAGCUCUGUUGUUAAAGACGAACGUGGGUAAGAGUAACUGUUUACCCAGUGACGGUAUUUAACCAGAAAGCCACGGCUAACUACGUGCCAG
rnacentral:rRNA from 1 species